rnacentral:lncRNA from 1 species
GGAAAAUUGGCGGAGUGUUCUCAUGUGACAGGGCAAAGGACCGUUUGCUCCGUGUGUGGCAUGGCUGCUCUGACUGCCCAUUCCAAUUGUCCCCCUCGCAGGCACAGCCGUUGGACACCACCAAGUGCCAGCACUGCUGCUGGGUGACCUAAAGCAGUGCAGUGCUGUGGGGCUCCCUCAGCAACAUUCACCUUUCCCCCACAGAGGUAAGGAGUGUGUGUGUGUGUGUGUGUGUGUUUUAAAAAUAAACGAAGACUGAAAAAUGGGUCAGAGGGUCAGGGCAGAUGACCUAUGAGAAACACCAUCCUCUC